ensembl:snoRNA
CCUGCUCCUGGAGAAAUUGCAACUGUGGCUGUCCUGUCAGGUGUGUGAGAAAGUUGGAGAGAGGAGAGAGACUAUGUCCAUGCUGAGUGCUCUGACCUAUAAACAUCUGAAUGAUCAGUAGCCUAACACU